UUUCAUCUCUUCCGCCCUCCCCUCUCUGUUGCAGGCUUGCAGCGACCAAGAAUUACUCAGACCAGGCUUCGAUAAGGUCCUCUGUUGCAGGCUUGCAGCGACCAACCGACCUUUCAUCUCGCCGUUGACAGAUUGCAGACCAGGCACAAUGAGUAAGGAUGUUAUGGCGCGAUUUCUCAACAAGAGGAAAACGAUUGAAAUUGGAUCAUCUUCCGAUUUUGUUGAUGUGAAUGAUCUUCCCUCGGAUCCUCAUGAUCGCAAGGCGAUAGCAUCAUACAACGUGAAUCAACGAGAUGAUGUUAGAAGGGCAUACCUACUAAGAGGACCAUGUCAACCAACGGAUUUGGUCACCUCAUGCGAUGCAUUAUGCACGAGAUGCGUCUUUCGGAAUCCUUCAUUUAUGCGUAUGGAAGGGCAUGAGAUGUGUCUAGAAGGGCAUGUGAUGCGUCUGGAAGUGCAUGGGACGCGUCUGGCCCACCGCGACAUUUGAAACGUCACGUGUCCAUUUUUUAUUGGGUGCUUAAGAAGUCUGCAUAUGGACGUUUCAAGUGCUUAAGUGGUCGCUCCAAGAACUCAUGAGAUAGCCUUUUUUGAAAGUUAUGGUGGCCGACGGCUAUUUUUAUAAUUUUUCCCAUAUACAAAUUAGUUAUUUACGUUCAGAGUUAAAUAUAAAAUAACCUUUUCAACUAAUAUUUUAAUCAUCAAAUAUUUUUUUUUUUGAACGGCAAAUCAUCAAAUAUUACUCCCAAGAAAAUUGGGGAAACUGAAAUUCUUGGGGGGCUCAAUUUGAGGGAAUGAACAUGAAAAUACUAAAAAGAUGAUAAUAAAAUAUUUUUGUUCCGAUUAAUGAAAAAUGAAAAGCAGGAAUGAUUUCAAGUAAUAUUGGAACAACCAAAAACUAUGGAGGUCUGGUCUCAUUUCCUAUCUAUGCUCCCAUACCUUUUUCUCUUUAUUCAAUCACCUUAACUCCCUAUCUCCAUGGUGUGACCAUCGUUCUUAAUCUUAUGAACACAUGCGACUCUUCUUGUUACAGCAUUCAGGUCAGCAUAUAAUCCAGCUCAAUGCUAUGUUUGUUGUUCUAGUACAUUGUGUCCUCUAGUAAUUGGGUUGCUUCCCUUGCAGUUGUCGGAUCAAGCAGAUAAAAUAACGAGCUAUGUUUAUUUGUGAUUACAAUAAUGUUUCUAAACAUUGUAUAAAAGUUUACUUCUUAUACAUUAAGGCGAUGACCCGAAUUCAAU